GAGUUUGAUCAUGGCUCAGGAUGAACGCUGGCGGCGUGCCUAAUACAUGCAAGUCGAGCGAACGGACGAGAAGCUUGCUUCUCUGAUGUUAGCGGCGGACGGGUGAGUAACACGUGGAUAACCUACCUAUAAGGCUGGGAUAACUUCGGGAAACCGGAGCUAAUACCGGAUAAUAUUUUGAACCGCAUGGUUCAAAAGUGAAAGACGGUCUUGCUGUCACUUAUAGAUGGAUCCGCGCUGCAUUAGCUAGUUGGUAAGGUAACGGCUUACCAAGGCAACGAUGCAUAGCCGACCUGAGAGGGUGAUCGGCCACACUGGAACUGAGACACGGUCCAGACUCCUACGGGAGGCAGCAGUAGAGAAUCUUCCGCAAUGGGCGAAAGCCUGACGGAGCAACGCCGCGUGAGUGAUGAAGGUCUUCGGAUCGUAAAACUCUGUUAUUAGGGAAGAACAUAUGUGUAAGUAACUGUGCACAUCUUGACGGUACCUAAUCAGAAGGCCACGGCUAAC
rnacentral:rRNA from 1 species